GACGAACGCUGGCUUCUUUCCUCCUACCUGCAAGUCGAGCGCAGUUUUUCUGGUGCUUGCCCUCGACAAACUUAGCGGCGCACGUGUGAGUAACACGUAAAGAACCUGCCUCAUAGACUGGGACCACUCUUGGAAACGAUAGCUAAUACCGGAUAACAGUAUUUCUCGCAUGAGAGAUCUUUAACAGUUGGUUAUGCUAACACUAUGAGAUGGCUUUGCGGUGCAUUAGCUAGUUGGGGGGGUAAAGGCCCCCCAAGGCGACGAUGCAUAGCCGACCUGAGAGGGGGAGAGGCCACACGGGGACUGAGACACGGCCCAGACUCCGACGGGAGGCAGCAGGAGGGAAUCGUCCGCAAGGGGCGAAAGCCUGACGGAGCAACGCCGCGUGAGUGAAGAAGGAUUUCGGUUCGUAAAGAGAGGGGGUGAGGGAAGAAUGGAUAUGGAGGAAAGAGACAUGUAAGAGACGGGACCGAACCAGAAAGCAAAGGAGAAAGACGGG
rnacentral:rRNA from 1 species